CUUAUCCCUCAAGCCGCACCCAUUGUCUUUCCGAGGACACCGUUCGAACCCUGCGCGAUGGAAAAUCACCUUAUCCUCUCACCUGACCCCUAUGGACCGAAGACCGGCAUCCGUCUUCUUCCAUCCCAUCGGCUGUAAUCGCAGGAGAUGGGAGGAAAUGGCAGGAUUGCGUGGGUUAUUUAUCCCCCAUUUGGAAGGAUUGGUUGUAGAUGGAGGGAGAAAUCCAAACCUUACGUGCACAGGCAUCGUUGCAAUUUUAGAGGCUGAUUUUCGGUGCGGUGUCUUCGGGGAUUCAUUCCUCGAGUUGGAUUCGAAGAGGGCUCGUUUUGGUGGGAAAGGUAUUGAGAGAUUGUAGUAUAUAGGUUUCAUAAGUCUGUGAUUUGCUGGCCAUUGAAAUGUGGGUGAUAGCAUUCCUUCUCCCACAUAAUCUCUCCUUCACUUCCAGUGUAUGGAUUCUAGACUGUAACAUUUCAACCGAAGAAGUCAUUCAAUACCCAAAUCCAAUCACUCAAUUCUGAAAGGUGUGAUUAUCAUGGCCCCUACUACAAAGAUAUUGUAUCUUUUAUUUUAGUUCAUGUUUUGAUAGAAUUUAUUUUGAAAUCAUGCAUAUUUCUUUCAAUAUCCUUCAUUAUCCUUAAUUUGAGGCAUACUUAC